rnacentral:misc_RNA from 1 species
GAAAUGCGAUAAGUAAUGUGAAUUGUAGAAUUCAGUGAAUCAUCGAAUCUUUGAACGCACAUUGCGCCCGCCAGCACUCUGGCGGGCAUGCCUGUUCGAGCGUCAUUUCAACCCUCAGAACCCCUUGCGGGAUCUGGCGUUGGGGAAUGGCAUCCAGCCAGCCCCGAAAUCUAGUGGCGGUCCCUCCGCGACCUCCCCUGUGCAGUAGCGAUACCUCGCAGCGGGACAGCGGUCUGACCACGCCGUAAAACCCCCAACUUCUCAAGGUUGACCUCGAAUCAGGUAGGAAUACCCGCUGAACUUAAGC